UACGGAGGGGGCAAGCGUUGUUCGGAAUUACUGGGCGUAAAGGGCGCGCAGGCGGCUGCUCAAGUCAGGCGUGAAAGGCCUGGGCUCAACCCUGGAAUGGCCUUUGAGACUGCUGGUCUUGAGUUCGAGAGAGGUGAGUGGAAUUCCGAGUGUAGAGGUGAAAUUCGUAGAUAUUCGGAGGAACACCAGUGGCGAAGGCGGCUCACUGGCUCGACACUGACGCUGAGGUGCGAAAGCGUGGGGAGCAAACAGG
rnacentral:rRNA from 1 species